rnacentral:rRNA from 1 species
GCAAGUCGAGCGGCAGCACAGCAGUAGCAAUACUGUGGGUGGCGAGCGGCGGACGGGUGAGGAAUACAUCGGAAUCUACCUUCUUGUGGGGGAUAACGUAGGGAAACUUACGCUAAUACCGCAUAAGACCUGAGGGUGAAAGCGGGGGACCGCAAGGCCUCGCGCGAGAAGAUGAGCCGAUGUCGGAUUAGCUAGUUGGUGAGGUAAAGGCUCACCAAGGCGACGAUCCGUAGCUGGUCUGAGAGGAUGAUCAGCCACACUGGAACUGAGACACGGUCCAGACUCCUACGGGAGGCAGCAGUGGGGAAUAUUGGACAAUGGGCGCAAGCCUGAUCCAGCCAUGCCGCGUGUGUGAAGAAGGCCUUCGGGUUGUAAAGCACUUUUGUUGGGGAAGAAAAGAUCCGGGUUAAUAACCCGGGUUCAUGACGGUACCCAAAGAAUAAGCACCGGCUAACUUCGUGCCAGCAGCCGCGGUAAUACGAAGGGUGCAAGCGUUACUCGGAAUUACUGGGCGUAAAGCGUGCGUAGGCGGUUUGUUAAGUCUGUCGUGAAAGCCCCGGGCUCAACCUGGGAAUGGCGGUGGAUACUGGCAGGCUAGAGUACGGUAGAGGAUGGUGGAAUUCCCGGUGUAGCAGUGAAAUGCGUAGAGAUCGGGAGGAACAUCUAUGGCGAAGGCAGCCAUCUGGACCAGUACUGACGCUGAGGCACGAAAGCGUGGGGAGCAAACA